UCCGUAGGCGGGCAAUUAAGUCAGAGGUGAAAUCCCACAGCUCAACUGUGGAACUGCCUUUGAUACUGGUUGUCUUGAGUUACAGUGAAGUAGAUAGAAUAUGUAGUGUAGCGGUGAAAUGCAUAGAUAUUACAUAGAAUACCGAUUGCGAAGGCAGUCUACUAACUGUAUACUGACGCUAAUGGACGAAAGCGUGGGGAGCGAACAGGAUUAGAUACCCUGGUAGUCU
rnacentral:rRNA from 1 species